rnacentral:rRNA from 1 species
CCUACGGGGGGCAGCAGUCGAGAAUCAUUCACAAUGGGGGAAACCCUGAUGGUGCGACGCCGCGUGGGGGAAUGAAGGUCUUCGGAUUGUAAACCCCUGUCAUGUGGGAGCAAAUUAAAAAGAUAGUACCACAAGAGGAAGAGACGGCUAACUCUGUGCCAGCAGCCGCGGUAAUACAGAGGUCUCAAGCGUUGUUCGGAAUCACUGGGCGUAAAGCGUGCGUAGGCUGUUUCGUAAGUCGUGUGUGAAAGGCGCGGGCUCAACCCGCGGACGGCACAUGAUACUGCGAGACUAGAGUAAUGGAGGGGGAACCGGAAUUCUCGGUGUAGCAGUGAAAUGCGUAGAUAUCGAGAGGAACACUCGUGGCGAAGGCGGGUUCCUGGACAUUAACUGACGCUGAGGCACGAAGGCCAGGGGAGCGAACGGGAUUAGAUACCCCUGUAGUC